CCUCGUCUGACCGCUGUGGAGGUUGAAGGGGAAACGCGCUCAUCACCGUCUGACGCUUCCUCCACCCCGUAGCCUUCCUGAAACCCGAAGGACGGGUCAGGAGACGGCUGUUCUGUUUCGAACGGAUGAUCCAAAGUGUUUUGAAAAUCAUUUUCAUCUUCCGCACACGCAUUUUCGAAAGGGUCUGAUUCUCCGCCCAAGUUCUGCAGGAACUCCAGCAAAGAGGGGGUGGGCGAGUCGGCGUAAAAAUCUGGAGGCUCUGAGUCAUCGUCUUUUUGCCAUUGGAUUAAAGCGUUUUCUAUGGGCGUGAGUGCAAAUUCGGGUUGGCGCGUCGCAAAUUCAUCAUUUUCUGUGGAAAAUGAAUGAACGGGCACAUCCGUCAAUUCGUGGUCUGGGUCAAACGUCACACCUUCUAAAUCAUUUCUGGGGGUUACCGAAUGUGAUCCGUAAAGUUCAGAACUCAUUAGCCGUAAUUCAUUCAGAGCCCUCAAUGGUUCAUUUGAGUCCAAAGAGUCAUUGGUUUUCUCAGAAUCAUCCAUUUUAAGUCACACCCUGAAUAAUUUCAUGAAAAGAGGUCAACAUACUUUUUUUUUCUUUUUUGCAAUCAGAGUUUAUGCGGGAAAAAACACACCAAACAAUCUCAUAAAGUGAUUCAUAUUUUUUGGGCCUGAUCCACCAGCGUCUUCAAGGUACGAGCCAUCAAUCUGUGCCAAUAGAACCUUUGCCUGGCCGGGAUGUCACUCGCCGGAUCCACAGGAACUCCUCCCGCGUCGUUGUCUGAGAAAAAAACAAACAAACGAGCAAAAUGAGUAUAUUUGCUUUUAGACUCUAUAAAAAUAAUAAAUAAAUAAAAAAAUAGUCAUACUACAAACCUUCAGGGGUGGUGGUGGUGGUGGUAGAGCGCUGUCGAUGUAUUUUUUUUAAUGCGGCAUCUGUAAAAGAAAAUGCAUUUUUUAACAACACAUAGUGUGUGUGAUGGGGUUCGCUAGAAAAACAUACUCUUCCUAUUCGCUAGGUGGGGAUCUAGAGUCAUUUAACCGUCAAAGAAAAUACAUACUACUCCAAUUCAAUAGAUGGCGAUCUCGAGUCAUUUUUAACCGCCGAAGAAGAGGAUGUGACGUCAUGAUUUACCGCGUGCUUCAAAAUGGCUGCACCGUGGUUCACAAGACGGGAGGAAAAAGAAAGAAAAAGGAUUAAAACUUACCGACGGUUCCCCUUUUCCUCUUCUUCGGAGCAGCCUCCGUUGUUGGAACCCGAUCCUGAAGCUCCGAGUCGGCGUGUUUCUCCGGAUCAGUCGGGCCCUCGCUUCGGCUUUCGUCGGCCUGGACCCCGGAGGUCGGCCCCUGAUUUCCCCCAGCCGGACGCUCGUUGACGGGUUGCAGGGUGGUCUGAGACUCGGAGGUCAGGGGCUGAGGCUGGGGGUUAGGCUGAGGCGGCUUCUGCGCGGGUUGUUUGGUCGGGAAGCUCGGGGUAGGUCGCUGCUGCUGCUGGAGCAUCUGAGUUUGACCGACGGCUUCCCGCGGUCCCCCGAUAAUGGCAGCUGCAGCGGGCGGGUGAGGUCUGAAGUCCCCCGCUGGAGCCUUGGAGCGGUUCGGGAAACCCGGAGGACGCACGGACUGAUCCUGGUGGAACGUCUUUCUGAGGGAGAGCUUCCCUGCUUCUGAACAGCGCCGGGUCGUCGCUGGCCGGAUCCUCAGAAACUCCUCCCGCGUCGUUGUCUGAGAAAAAACAAACAAACAAGCAAAAUGAGUAUAUUUGCUUUUAGACUCUAUAAAAAUAAGAAAUAAAUAAAAAAUAGUCAUACUACAAACCUUCAGGGUGGUGGUGGUGUAGAGCUGUCGACGUAUUUUUUUUUUAAUGCGGCUUCUGUGAAAGAAAAUGCAUUUUUUAACAACACAUAGUGUGUGUGUGUGAUAGGGUUCGCUAGGAAACAUACUCUUCCUAUUCGCUAGGUGGGGAUCUAGAGUCAUUUAACCGUCAAAGAAAAUACAUACUACUCCAAUUCGAUAGAUGGCGAUCUCGAGUCUUUUUUAACCGCCGAAGAAGAGGAUGUGACGUCAUGAUUUACCGCGUGAUUCAAAAUGGCUGCACUGUGGUUCACAAGACGGGAGGAAAAAGAAAGAAAAAGGAUCAAAACUUACCGACGGUUCCCCUUUUCCUCUUCUUCGGAGCAGCCUUCGUUGUUGGAACCCGAUCCUGAAGCUCCGAGUCGGCGUGUUUCUCUGGACCCGUCGGGCGCUCGCUUCGGCUUUCGCCGGCCUGGACCCCGGAGAUUGGCUGUGGAUUACCCGGAGCCGUACGCUCGUUGACGGGUUGCAGGGUGGUCUAAGGCUGGGGGUUAGGCUGAGUCUGAGACGCCUUCUGUUUGUUUGGUUGGAAAGCUCGGGGUGGGUCGCUGCUGCUGCUGGAGCAUCUGAGUUUGACCGACGGCUUCCCGCGGUGAUGGCGGCUGCUGCAGCCGAGUUAGGUCUGAAGUCCCCCGCUGGAGCCUUGGAGUGGUUCGGGAAACCCGGAGGACGCACGGACUGAUCCUGGUGGAGCGUCUUUCUGAGGGAGAGCUUGCUUCGGAGCAGCGCCGGGCGGGGCAGCGACGCUCAGAGGUCCGGUGAAGACGGCCUGGUUUUUCUGGACCACGCAGUUCUGAGUUUCAACUUCCCCCAGGAAUUCUACGCUUCUCCAUCAGAAGGUCCACAGGUGUCGGAACGAUGGCCUCUUCUUUGGAACAGACGGGCUCCUUCCUUUCUCGCGAGCUAAGAUCAUUAAGGAGAAGACCCGUUGGUGUUCGCGCCCCCCUAGGAAACAGACGGCGGGAUCUCCUUUCUGCUUCCUUUCUCGCCGCUGCUGGGUGUC